ACUCCUACGGGAGGCAGCAGUGGGGAAUAUUGCACAAUGGGGGAAACCCUGAUGCAGCCAUGCCGCGUGUGUGAAGAAGGCCUUCGGGUUGUAAAGCACUUUCAGUAGGGAGGAAGGUAGUGUAGUUAACACCUGCAUUAUUUGACGUUACCUACAGAAGAAGCACCGGCUAACUCCGUGCCAGCAGCCGCGGUAAUACGGAGGGUGCGAGCGUUAAUCGGAAUUACUGGGCGUAAAGCGCAUGCAGGCGGCCUGUUAAGUCAGAUGUGAAAGCCCGGGGCUUAACCUCGGAAUUGCAUUUGAAACUGGCAGGCUAGAGUCUUGUAGAGGGGGGUAGAAUUUCAGGUGUAGCGGUGAAAUGCGUAGAGAUCUGAAGGAAUACCAGUGGCGAAGGCGGCCCCCUGGACAAAGACUGACGCUCAGAUGCGAAAGCGUGGGGAGCAAAC
rnacentral:rRNA from 1 species